UACGUAGGGUCCAAGCGUUAUCCGGAAUUACUGGGCGUAAAGAGUUGCGUAGGUGGCAGAGUAAGUUGGUAGUGAAAGCCUUGGGCUCAACCCAUUCAACAUUAUCAAAACUGCUCAGCUAGAGGACGAGAGAGGUCACUGGAAUUCCUAGUGUAGGAGUGAAAUCCGUAGAUAUUAGGAGGAACACCGAUGGCGUAGGCAGGUGACUGGCUCGUUCCUGACACUAAGGCACGAAAGCGUGGGGAGCGAACGGG
rnacentral:rRNA from 1 species